GUGAUUUUCUACAUUGUAAUCUCUUAUCACAAACGCCAAAUACCUGUAUUUUGCGUCUUUUACGGUUGCUCAAAUCGAUCAGACCGAGAAACCACAAGGUACUUUAACCGUAUACCCAAAGUAGUUGUUCAUAAAGGUAAAAAAAAAAAAAAAAGCAAGAAAUUGACAGAAAAACGCCAGUUAAAAAUGGCUUGCAAAACUGCGUCUGCGGUCGGGAGGAGCCGGGUCGGAUAAUGCUCGUGUGUGCAGUGACCACUUUGUCAAAGAUUGACAAAGACCCAAAACAUACUGCGAAAAGGAACCUAGGAGUUUUUUUAGGCCAAGAAGUGGAAUAUUCUGCAAUGCCUGAGUCAAUCACCUGGUCUUAACCUGAUCGAGCAUGCAUUACACUUCCUGAAGACACAACUUAAGGCUGAAAGACCCACGAACAAACAAUAACUGAGGACGGCUGCCGUAAAGGCCUGGCAAAGCAUCAAAAGGACGAAACCCAGCGUUUGGUGAUGUCCAUGUGUUCUAAACUUCAAGUAGUCAUCUCCUGCAAAGGAUUCUCGACAAAGUAAUAAAAAUGAACCUCUGGC
ensembl:lncRNA